rnacentral:rRNA from 1 species
AGCGCUGUAGCAAUACAGAGCGGCGCACGGGUGAGGAACACGUGGGAACGUACCCAACGGUUUGGGAUAACUCAGGGAAACUUGAGCUAAUACCGAAUACGCCCCUCUUUGGUGACAUUGAUGGGGAAAGAUUUAUCGCCGAUGGAGCGGCCCGCGUCCGAUUAGCUUGUUGGUGAGGUAAAAGCUCACCAAGGCGACGAUCGGUAGCUAGUUUGAGAGAACGAUCAGCCACACUGGGACUGAGACACGGCCCAGACUCCUACGGGAGGCAGCAGUGGGGAAUCUUGGACAAUGGGGGCAACCCUGAUCCAGCCAUGCCGCGUGAGUGAUGAAGGCCCUAGGGUUGUAAAACUCUUUCGGCGGGGACGAUAAUGACGGUACCCGCAGAAGAAGCUCCGGCUAACUUCGUGCCAGCAGCCGCGGUAAUACGAAGGGGGCUAGCGUUGUUCGGAAUUACUGGGCGUAAAGCGCGCGCAGGCGGUUUUCCAAGUCAGAGGUGAAAGCCCAGAGCUCAACUCUGGAACUGCCUUUGAAACUGGAAAACUAGGGUACGGGAGAGGUGAGUGGAAUUCCGAGUGUAGAGGUGAAAUUCGUAGAUAUUCGGAAGAACACCAGUGGCGAAGGCGGCUCACUG